UUGGUGUGGUAACGGCUCACCAAACCUACGAUGGAUAGGGGUUCUGAGAGGAAGGUCCCCCACACUGGAACUGAGACACGGUCCAGACUCCUACGGGAGGCAGCAGUGAGGAAUAUUGGUCAAUGGGCGCGAGCCUGAACCAGCCACGUCGCGUGAAGGAUGACGGCCUUAUGGGUUGUAAACUUCUUUUACAGGGGAAUAAAGUGAGUCACGUGUGAUUUUUUGCAUGUACCCUGUGAAUAAGCAUCGGCUAACUCCGUGCCAGCAGCCGCGGUAAUACGGAGGAUGCGAGCGUUAUCCGGAUUUAUUGGGUUUAAAGGGUGCGUAGGCGGGAUAUUAAGUCAGCGGUGAAAGUUUUCGGCUCAACCUUAAAAUUGCCGUUGAAACUGUUAUUCUUGAGUGCAGUAGAGGUAGGCGGAAUUCGUUGUGUAGCGGUGAAAUGCGUAGAUAUAACGAGGAACUCCGAUUGCGUAGGCAGCUUACUAUAUUGCUACUGACGCUGAGGCACGAAAGUGUGGGUAUCAAACAGGAUUAGAUACCCUGGUAGUCCACACAGUAAACGAUGAAUACUAGCUGUUUGCGAUAUAUUGUAAGCGGCCGAGCGAAAGC
rnacentral:rRNA from 1 species